AUGGAGGUGGCUGUCGGCGUGGCGAGCUCGCUCCUUGGCAAGGUGUUCACGAAGUUAUCUGAUGACCUGGUGGCCGCGUAUGUCGACAGCCUCGAGCUCGGCCACAACUCCCAGCAGAUCAAAACAAAACUGUUGCACACACAAGGGCUGCUGCAAGUGGCCAAGGGGAGGGACGUGAGCAACGUCACCGCCCUGCAGGCCUUGUUGGAGGAGCUGAGCAAGAAGGCCGACGAGGCGGAGGACUCGCUGGAUGAGCUCCACUACUUCAAGAUCCAGGACCAGCUCGACGGCACCAACUAUGCGGCGCCGGAUCUCGGCGAUAGCCUCCGUGGCCAUGCUCGCCAUGGUGGCCAUGCUGCUCGCCACACCAUCGGUAACUGGUUCCCAUGCUUUUCUUGCUCGCGUGCGCAAGAUGAUGAUUCUGCUCCUACUGCUGUUGCCAAUAGCCCACACCACUAUGCAACCAACUCUGCUACUGCUAGUGCUGAUGAUGAUGGCGAUGUCGAUAAGUUACAUUUCGACAGAGUCACCAUGUCCAGAAAAAUUAAGUCAGUGAUAAAUGACAUACACUCUUUGUGUGAUCCCGUCUCUGAUUUGCUCAACAAAGUUCCAAGCAGCAGCACAGCCGUCACCCUAAAACGGCCUCACAUAGGGUCCACAAUUAUACAAGAUACACUGCACGGGAGGAGAGACAUUUUUGAGAAAAUUGUCAAUGAUAUCACAAGUGGCACACAUCACAGUCAAACUGUUUCUGUUCUUCCUUGGAAAGACAACUUUCACCCAACACCUAUUCUUAACUGCAUACCUGCAACUGAAAAUGAAAUUGCAAUUGAAACAACCAAUCUAGACAGACUUCAAAAAUCCAUUGCGCAGAGACUGAAGACCAAAAGGUUCUUAAUUGUCUUGGAUGAUAUAUGGAAAUGCGAUAGUGAGGAUGAGUGGAAAACCUUGCUAGCUCCAUUCACAAAAGGGGACGCCAAAGGCAGCAUGAUACUUGUCACAACUCGAUUCCCAAAACUAGCAAGAAUGAUGAAAACAGUUGAUUCAGUAGAACUGCAAGGCUUGGAGUCUAAUGACUUCUUCACAUUCUUUGAAGCAUGUAUAUUUGGUGAACAUAAGCCCAGGGAUUAUGAAGAUGACUUAGCUUGUAUUGCAAGAGAAAUUGCAAGCAAGUUAAAGGGCUUCCCACUAGCAGCCAAAACAGUUGGUCGACUAUUGAAGAAAAAUCUUUCCCGGGAACAUUGGAACGGAGUUCUUCACAAUCAUGAGUGGCGAAACCAGAAAAAUGAUAAUGAUAUUAUACCAUCUUUGAAAAUUAGCUACGACUACCUCCCUUUCGAUCUGAAAAAAUGCUUCUCAUAUUUUUCCCUUUAUCCUGAAGAUUGUAGGUUUAGCACUUCAGGAAUUAAUCGUUUUUGGAUUGCAAUAGGCAUCAUAGACUCUAGCCACCGAAGCGAUAAGAAUUACAUGGAAGAUCUAAUGGAAAAUGGUUUUCUCAUGAAGGAGGUUUCUAAAUAUCCUCCUUUUCAUGAAUACUAUGUAAUGCAUGAUUUAAUGCAUGAGCUAUCUCGGAUUGUCUCUGCACAAGAAUGCCUCAAUGUAAGUGAUCUAGAUUUUAGAGCUGAGGCCAUCCCACAAUCUAUUCGGCACCUAUCCGUCACCAUAGAGAAUAGAUAUGAUGAAAAAUUUAGGGAAGAAAUGGGUAAACUAAAAGGAAGGAUAGACAUUGUAAAUCUACGGACAUUGAUGAUUUUUAGAGAAUAUGAAGAAAGAAUCAUUGAGAUCUUAAAAGAUACGUUUAAAGAAACAAAAGGCCUGCGCAUCCUAGUUAUAGCAGUGAAGUCCCUUGAAUCUCUGCCACGAAGCUUUUCAAAACUUAUCCACCUUCAGUACCUGCAAAUUCGAUCACCCAAUGUCACAGAAAUGACUUUACCUAGCACACUAUCCAGAUUUUAUCACUUGAAAUCCUUGGACCUAAGUCGGUGGUGUGGUAGUUCUAAUUUGCCUAAAGACAUUAGCUGCCUUGUGAAUUUACGCGAUUUCCUCGCUAAGAAAGAACUCCACUCCAAUGUUCCUGAGGUUGGAAAGAUAAAGUAUCUGCAUGAGCUAAAAGAAUUCCAUGUUAAGAAAGAAAUUGAUGGAUUUGAUUUAAGAGAGUUGGGGGAAUUGGGAGAGCUUGGGGGAACACUCGGUAUACAUAAUCUUGAAAAUGUGGCAACCAAGGAAGAAGCUAGUGAUGCCAAAUUGAUGUUGAAAAGGGAUUUGAAAGAGUUGACAUUAGUAUGGGGCAGAGAGCAACCGACUGAUGUACAUGCUGAUAUUCUUGAUGCUCUUCAACCACACUCUAACCUUACAGCACUUGGCAUUAUAAAUCAUGGUGGCACCACUUGUCCUGGUUGGCUGUGUCCUGUGAUAAGGGUAAACAAUUUAGAGACUCUCCAUUUACACGGCGUGUCUUGGGGAACUCUUCCACCUUUUGGGCAGCUACCAUAUCUCAGGGAACUCAGCUUGAAGAGCAUUUCUGGGCUGCGUCAGUUUGGUCCUGACUAUGGUGGUGUUACAGGCAAAUGUCUUUUGCAGUUGAAGAAAGUUGUGUUUCAUGACUUGUCAGAUCUCGUCAAGUGGGUUGUGGAACCUAAUUGUCAUAUGUUUCCAGGCCUUGAAAGCAUUGAUUGCAGCAAUUGUCCCAAUCUAUGUGUGAUGCCCUUCUCGGAGUGCUCUUGUACCAAUUUGUGCAGGCUUCACAUUGAUGGUUGCCCCAAGUUGUGUCUGGCCCCCAUGCCUCACACCUCCACACUAACAGAUUUUAUUGUUAAAAAAGGUUCAGAAAGGUUGUCUUACAAUGGAAAAAAAAUGGUUGUUAGUGAGUAUACUGGUGCUCUGGCCUUCCACAAUCUGGGUGAAGUAGAGGAUAUGAGUAUUGGAGAUGUAUCUCACAUUUCAUGGGCAGACCUCGAAAAGCUUAAAUCCUUAAGAAAACUAGCUGUCGGAAGAUGCGACAGCAUGUUCUGCGGAGAACUGGAUGGCAGUAUUGUCUUCCACAACAUGGAUAAAGUUGAGAGUCUCAGUGUAGAUGUAUCUCAUCUUACUGGAAAAUUGCUAUCAAAAGUGUUCAAUAGUUGCCCAGCUCUUGUAAAAUUGGAGAUAAGUUCUUCAUCUGAAGACCUGGAGGAACGAGUAAUACAGUUCCCAUCAUCCAGCUCACUGCGGACACUUCGCUUCUGGACGUCGAAGGGCCUGGUUCUUCUGCUUGCGGAGGAUGGAGGAGGAAUCCAGGACAUCACGUCGCUCCAAUCAUUAGAAAUAUAUUACUGCGACAAGUUGCUCUCUCGGUGGCCCAUGGGAGAAGCAGCAGGUGGAGCUCCUAUGACCAACCCUUUCCCUGCUUCCCUCAGGAUACUUAAUAUUUGGGGAGAGUCAGGCAUGCGAUCAAUGGCUCUGCUCUCAAACCUCACGUCUCUCACCCAUCUAACUCUAGAAAACUGCAAGAAUUUAACACUGGAUGGGUUCAAUCCUCUCAUCAUGGUCAACCUCAAGGAAUUGGAGGUCCGGAACUGGAGCGGCAACUCUCUAGCAGCAGAUCUGCUCUCAGAGGUAGCAAGGUCCAAAUUAAUGGAUGCGGGUUCCUUCCAAUUGGAGACACUGGAGGUGGAUAGCAUCUCGGCAGCGCUGGUUGCUCCCAUUUGCAACCACCUCUCUGCUACCCUCCACAAAUUGCAAUUCUAUGAUGAUAAGCGGGCAACAGGUUUCACGGAAGAGCAAGAGAAUGCGCUUCAGCUCCUCACCUCCCUCCAGACACUAGGAUUUUUUGAUUGCACGGUUCUGCAGUCCCUCCCUCAAGGAUUACAAUGCCUUUCUUCUCUCAAAGAAUUACAUGUCGGUAGUUGUCCUGAAUUCCGAUGCCUGCCAGUGCCAGAGGAGAGCUUCCCCACUUCGCUGCAAGUUCUAAUUCUAGGGUUUGACAGUGCUGAGCAAAGAGAGCAAGCUGAGAAAUGGAAAGAAGCAUAUCCAUAUUUACGAGUACUUUGUUAUGAGCCUUGUUAG
rnacentral:rRNA from 1 species